CGGGGCGUGGCGCAGAGGUAGCGCACCUGGUUUGGGACCAGGGGGUCGUGGGUUCGAAUCCCGCCGCCCCGACCA
rnacentral:tRNA from 1 species